ensembl:lncRNA
CUUGAAUCACGUUCAUAUACCGAUGCAGCCACAGCAUCAGCAUAGUUGAGUCCGAAAACAAACUCCAAGCUGUCCGUGCCACCAUGAAGAUGAAAAGGUCUGAAGUCCACUUCCACACUGCAGAACAGACGUGUGUGUAACCAUUUACAAUAUGAAGAGAUGAUCAAAUACAAAUAACACAGGAAGCAAAACGUUCCCACUGGCCUGUUUCUUCUGCGAUAACGUCAACAGACCGUUUAUGAACUUCACUGAUUUACUGUUGUUACACAGUCAGUCUGUAACGUAUUGGCUCGUAACACAUUUUUGAGGAUUACAUUAAGUAAUAUCCUCAUUUGGAGAUGUUUCCCAUCAUUCCUGAUCUGUCCCAGCAACAGUGCCAGCAGAAGAACCUGCUUAUCCCCCCCGCAAACACAAGGCAGUUUGUACUUUUUGUCCUAACUUGUCGACAAACCCAACCAACUCGGCUCAGCACACGGGGAGAUAACGGACACGUAGGCAGUAGAUAACAGCGGCCUGCUCUCUAUAGGAGCUGGAGGAGGACAUGGACAUGGCACUGGAAAGAAUGCCAGGAGGCGAGGCGUUGAGACAGAACGUGAAGCAACAAGUCUUGUACGCCAACGUCAGCCAAAGAGAAUGUCUUUGCUGUAAACAGUGACAAGGUGAAUCGCUCUGUGUACCACUGCUCUAUUCUGGUUUGUUCUCAGCUGCAGCUGUGGGGGCAAAAUCUGGACCGCUCUGUCGCCGGUAACAGAAUUAUAUGACAGUGAGUCCCAUUCUGUCAGCAAGAAUCAACAGGACGAAUAACCUUGUCUGUUGGUGUGUAACCAAGUAAAAUAGCUCGCUGUAUUUGUGUUUGGAGCAUAACAGUGGGAGAUGUCUGUUGUUGGAGUCUUCUACCACUAGAGGGCAGCAGAACUGAAUCAAAGCUAAACAACCAGAUGAAAAGCUUUCCACCGUAUCACAAAGAGGCUUCAGGAAAUAAUAUGAUCAAGAAUCAAGAUCAAGAUGUUGGACUUUCUAGUAUUUACAGUUUUAAGGGGAGCUGUCAGG